GGGGGUGGAGAGAAGGGGUGUUUGGUGUGGAAGCAUGUUAGUAGCGUGUUCUCUGCGUGAUAGGGAGUGGAAGGAAAAGACUUUAAGGAGUAGCUGCACUGCUGAGGACAAGUUUGGGGCUCUGUUUGCUGAAGGUGUUGAAUAAAUCACUAUGAUCUCCAGUCCCAUGGGAGACCACAAUGGAGAAGACAGCCAUGGAAACUUAGACCUGAAUUUAACUCUGGCGACCAGAGCUUUGAGAAUGUGGGCUAUGUAUUACCAAAUCUUUAUCAUUUUGAGAUCUGAGAGUCAGAAGAUACCAGGCACCUUUGAAUAGACAGAGUAGAUGUGUUGUGCCAAAGCUGAGAAGACCUUUCCAGAUCGAUAUCUCCUUGCACCUACAUCUUACAGAACGUGGAUUUCAGAACAUGGUGUCGGGACAUCCCAGGUCUGUGAGGAGAGGGCAGUGGCUGGCAAGGCUGCCCCAUGUUACACAGAUUGACCAAACAUAGCUGAGUGCUGGGCCUGCCUACCUCAAAGGUGACCUUGAGGUUUGUUGAAGAUGCCUCUGGUAAGUUUAAGCAGACAAAUUACUUCAUGUGGUUGCUAGUAUAAUGACAGGCUUAGAACAAGAAAAUGCGGGAGUGCACUUGAAAUGAAUGCUUUGCUCUGGGGAGAAAAGUGCUUUGAACAGUUGUAUGAAGUGUAAAUGACUUGGGGAAUUGGAGGAUCCAUAGGUGACUUGGAGUGUGGUUUUCUGUUGGGAUUUCUGUCAAACCUGUUAAUUUUGUAAUUCUUUUGACUCUUGCUGAAAGCAGCCUGAGAGGGAAAUAGCAACAAUUUUCCAUGAAAUGUGACAUUCUGAAAUAUCAAGUUGUUAGUUGAAACACAUGAUUUGCAUGAAAGGUAUAAUUCCUCUGCCACUUCUCUCAUAAAAUGUCAUAGAAAUUUAAUUGCAAAAGUAUUAGCAGCUAAGAGCUGGAAUCAAAAAUCUUGGGGUGCAGCAGAGGGGGAAGGACGAUUCUUUCUGUAGGCCGUUUACACAAUAUAUAGCACCUUCUGUCUGCAGGUCUGGUUUCUGUCAUAUGAGCCCUGCUAAAACAAAAUCAGCUGUUUCUAUUUGAUCUCUGAACUUCAUUAACUGUUUCCACCAUGACGACUGUGGACGGUACUUUUAGCAGCAUAAAGUGUCUGAGCUCUUAAGUGGUACAAAAAGACAGAAAUGCAGCCAAGAGAUGGAGCAUGCUUUCUGAGAUCUCUUCUGUGGAGGACAUAGCUGGAUCUGACAGGUUCUUUCUUGCAGGUGGUUCCUAUCUAUGUGUGUGCAAAAGACUUAAUUUUUUUGUCUAGUUCUGUCUUAACUUUUUCAUGAAAUAUAGUAAAAAUUAUUUGCUAUAAGCUUAUGUUUAUUCAUUAUACCAGUUUCAGCAAGAAUCAAAUGUCUGAAAAUUCUGAAGUACACAGUAACUGACCCAACUUUACCUACACCCUCUGAAGCUGCUGGUAGCCAAAGAGGAUGUGUGUGGUUAAUGCUUUGCUUGGGUAUAGCUGUGUUGUUGGUUUGGUUAAAACUGUGUGGCAAUACUGUGAGACAGGUAAAACUAGAUGCUUCAGAUUCUCAACUUGUGCUUUGCAUCCAGGAAGACCCAAUGUCUUGCUUAAGCACUGCUUGCAAGCUCUCUGUACUAAGUUGUGGGAUGAGCCUCCAGCAGAACUCUUCAGUGGUUAUAGUGAUGAUCAGUAGGAUCUCAGAGGUAAGGAGUAACUGAUGAGUGUAAAUGUAAAGUGGACUGAUGGCACUGUUGGAAUUGGUACAACUAUGAAGCUUAUUGUACAGAGGUUUGAUUCCAUGGAUUAAGGGAGAAGAGUGUCUAGAAAUGCCCUAGACAUUGCUUAAGGAGACCACCACUUAAAAGAAGGAAAUACGAUUUUUCUUCUGGAGUACUGAUUAACAUAGUAUGGUGGUAGAGUACUAAACAUCAUUUAGCAGCCUUAAUUUGCAAUUUAUAAAGCUUUUUGUUUUGACUUUUUGUGGGGUGGUGAGUACUUGUAAACGGAAAAUCUUGUGCACAUAUAAGAAAAUACAAUCUGCCAAUCAUUGCUGUGUAUGAGAUUAAAAUGCAACUGGUACUGUUGUGAUUCUUAAAUAUCCUACCUUGUUCAGGCACACUCUUGCUGGACUGUCAAUUUAAAAGAAGUUGCUGACACGACUUCUGUUCUGUGUUCUGACAAAAAAAAGUCUUAUGAUUGUUACACUGAACUGUAACUGAAGCUGUCUUGACUGCCUUGGCAGCAGUCCUGAGUGCUGCCUGUUCAUUCCCAAGGGCAGGAGAACUUUUUUUAUGCAGGCACAAAGCAUUUAAAGAGCAGCUGUAAUUCAGGAGAUGGAUGUCUUUUCUGUAUAAACAUCAUUUGCUUCUCUGAAAUGUUAAUGGAUAGCUUCAGGUUUUUCUUUUAAAAUACCCAUGGAACCUGGUGGUUUGACAACUGAAGGCAACUGUGGUUUAGCUUUAGUCUGGGGGAUGCAGCUGAGCAAAUGAAGAUUAGCAAAGACACUAAUUGUCCAUCUUUGAUGUUGGUGUGCUUGCGGCUGUCAGGUGAUUGAGUGCAGCUGCUGUUGGAGAGCAGGGUGGGAGGAAGAGAGCAGAUGGGUACCUUCACUACCUGGCUCAUUCUUCCUUGUGUAUAAGUGAUCAUAGAGCUGAGGAAUGUUGUUCCUCCCUGAUUUCCUCCUCACAUAUUUCCCUUCAAGACUCUCUCUUUCCACCUGAUACCUCAUAAAAACACAUGCUGAAGUCACCAUAUUUUCCCCAAAUAGAAUUCUUACUGUUUUGGCUAGUUCUGUUUAAACAGUUGACACUGGUAUGGGAAAUAACACUUAAUGAGAAGUCUUUCAACGAAAAUAAACAGAUCAGGUAAGGAAAGACUUCGUAAACUCUUCCUAUUUUAAAACAAUAACAACAAAAAAUCUAGAGAAGUAAUUGGUCAACAAAUAGCAAACCAUGGAAUGGCAGUACUGGAAAAUGGUUGCAAGCCAGUUUUAAAACUGUAAUUUGCAUUUGGGUAACAACAAGAAAGCUACUUCUACAAGUAGAUAAAAAGGACAGGUGUGUAAUCACUUCAUAAUGGAAAAAUAAAGCUAGUUCAUAGUGAUUGGGUGAGGACUCUUAUAGUCUCAAAUUUAAUGUUGUGAAUAAUUAAGGCUUAGAAGUUCAGCCAAACAAUGAAAUUUAUUCAGGAUUUAGGAUAUGUACAGGCAUUAUCCAAAUGGAUUGGUAUCAACAGUAUAGCUAUAAGCCAAGUUUUUUUUGUCAAUUUUUAAUAUAUUUUAAUAUAAAUACGGAAUUAGCUGCUUCUGUUUUCCACUUAAUAAGGGAAUUCUGUCUAUAAAUGUAUGCAGUCGAAUCCUUUCUCUCCUUGCUCCAAAAGCACACACGAUAUUCUCGUUUUAUUUCUUCAAGAUCACAGCAUAUUGCUCAAUACCAGUAAAUAUGCAAAACUUCAGGUGUCAGAAAGACACUGAUUUUUGUAUUGCAUGUCCAUGACAAGACAGCUGUGUUACAGGGUCUCACUGAGUAUUUCACUAAACUUCUUGAAGAAUUAUGUCCUUAGCAUUUUAUGUGGUUCAAUUUGCUCAGUCACUCUAAUUUCUUGAGAAAAUGAUGCUCUGACUAAUUCCUUUUGUUUUUCCUCGAGGUUUUACGAGUAAUUUAACAUCUUGUAAAGAUUAAUGCCUCAGAAAUGUCAUUUUGUUCCAUGGUCAAAUCCAAUAACUGUUUUCAUUUUGCAGCAAGAAUAAAUUAGUGAAUUUUAAUGUAGUAAUC